rnacentral:ncRNA from 1 species
GCAACGGCGUUGAUGGAGAAAAGUACCGCAGACGUUCCGUCUCAGUGAGCGGGGGGCAGUGGAAACCCCGUACAAAGAAUCUGUGGGAAGAACACUCCGUAGCUGCAAUCUGAACGCGGGCAACCGCCAGUAAGUGCGACGAGUUGUGAUCGUUACAUCACACGGGCUUGUUGGAGCCUUGAAAAGUGGUCCCUUCACGGGGGCAAAUUAGGUGGCACCGCGGAUUGCAGCUAUUCGUCCUAAAA